rnacentral:lncRNA from 1 species
GUUAUAUAAGGGUAGAGAGAAACUCUGGGGGAUGAGGAUAUCUAUUCACGGGGAUGGACGGGAAUGAGUCUUGGAAGGAGAGUGAACUAGGAAAGAGGAAAUGAUAGUAUUGGGUUUUGAGUGUGUGAGAGUAGGGUGUUUUGCAUGGUGGGAUAUGUUAGCGAAAUGGGAAUAGCCAUGAGUGGUUGUGGGUGUGUAGAGGUUGGGUAGAAAAGAGAUAGUGGAGUGUGUGAGUAUAUAAAAUGUUGUGGAUGCAAGGAGAGGGGUUGUUCUGGAAUGAGGCGUUUGAGGUUGGGAUUCGUGAGGAGAGGAGAUGGUGAGAGAAGAUGAAGGAGAAUGUUUUGAUAAGUUGGGGUUUGUGUUGUGUGUGGAAGCGUGAGGAGGCAAAAGAGGUGGAGAGAUUAGUGUAAAAAGGUUGCUAGAACGAGUGUUAUGUGAAUGGAAGGGUUGGGGUGUCUCUCUGGUUAUGCUUGGAAGAAUGGAAGGAAGGUUAGCAAACACAUCGUCCAGUGGGGGCUCACUCUUAUUAUUUAAAGGGUAAGAAAUAAGAUGUUUAAGAAGAAUCUAGGAGAGGGGAAGCAUUGAUGCACAACGAGAGUAGAGUGGUAGGAGUCCGAGAAGGGUGGAGAAAGAAGGAAAACAAAUAGAAGGAAUAAGCAGGAGCUUGGUAUAGCGGUGAUGAGAAUAAAUGGGGUAGGUUUGAAAAUGAAUACAGAGUGUGGAUGGGUUGAAGUUUACGUGAAGAUGCUGGUGUGUGUGGGUUAUGGAAACAUUGAAAAUGAAAAUAAGAAAGAGAGCGUGUUGUGGUAGGCUUGGGUUUGACGUUAGAUGAAGAAAGAAUGAAUUAGUGGUAUCGUACGGGUAGGAAGAGUUAAAUAAAGGAUAGUAAGAAGUGUUGUACCUGGGUUGAGUGUGUUGAGUUAUAUGAAGAAAAGAUAUAUGGUGGGUGCAGGGGUGGGUUUCGUGUAGUGGUAGGAUUGAGAGAGAAGUUUGGUUUAAGUAGAGAGUUGUAAAGGAUACAAAAAGAAUUGUGUGUUUGGUUAAGUGAAUAAGAAAAGGAGAAAAAAAAUGGGGAGUGGAGAAAGAGGCAUCUUUGUGACUUUUUGUUGGUAUGAAGAAGAGAGAAAGUAAGAGGUUAGAAAGAAAAAAAAAAUAGAAUCAUGAGAAGUUUAAAAGAGAGAGGAAGAGGAGAGUGAUAUUCAGUGGAGAGAAAGUGAAGGAGAGUAACUCUUGGGUAUUACGCGGAAGGAGGAAAGAGUGACUUGGGGUUGGUUCUUUGGGUGAUUAAAAUUAUGAAAAACUUCUUUUAACAACACUUUUUUAACAACUUUUUGACAACGUAUACGUGGCAGCUUGUGAUUGGUCCGUUUUAAAUAUCUUUUAAACAUAAAUUCAAAUAGACCAAUAAAAU